AUUGAACGCUGGCGGCAGGCCUAACACAUGCAAGUCGAGCGGAUGAAGAGAGCUUGCUCUCUGAUUUAGCGGCGGACGGGUGAGUAAUGCCUAGGAAUCUGCCUGGUAGUGGGGGAUAACGUUCCGAAAGGAACGCUAAUACCGCAUACGUCCUACGGGAGAAAGCAGGGGACCUUCGGGCCUUGCGCUAUCAGAUGAGCCUAGGUCGGAUUAGCUAGUUUGUGAGGUAAUGGCUCACCAAGGCUACGAUCCGUAACUGGUCUGAGAGGAUGAUCAGUCACACUGGAACUGAGACACGGUCCAGACUCCUACGGGAGGCAGCAGUGGGGAAUAUUGGACAAUGGGCGAAAGCCUGAUCCAGCCAUGCCGCGUGUGUGAAGAAGGUCUUCGGAUUGUAAAGCACUUUAAGUUGGGAGGAAGGGCAGUAAGUUAAUACCUUGCUGUUUUGACGUUACCGACAGAAUAAGCACCGGCUAACUUCGUGCCAGCAGCCGCCGUAAGAC
rnacentral:rRNA from 1 species